CUCUACUCAGAGACAAAUUCGUUAACUGAGCGUAAUUGAUUUCGUUUGUUUUUUCUAGCCACUGCUUCUCCCUUCUCACAGCCCUUCCUCAGUGGAAGUGCUAACCGGAAUCGAGUGGCUCAGAAACAAGUGGCAAAGAAGCGGGUGGAAAAGAAAGUUAUGAAACUGCACAUCAGGCUGGGCGUGGCGGCUUAUGCCUGGAAUCCCAGCACUGUGGGAGGCUACGGCAGGAGGAUCACUCAAGCCUAGGAGUUUCAGACCGGUUUGGGCACCAUAGCAAGACCCCCAUCUCAACAAAAACUCAAAUGAAAAAUUAACCAGUGUGGUGGUGUACCCCUGAAGUCCCAGCUACGCAGGAGGCUGAGGGACUUUGGAUCUUGAGCAAGUGACCACACGGGCAGAAGCAACAGAAUUAAUUCAUUCAGGCAUGAAGAGCCUGGCCGGGACUAUUUCUGCCACAAGAUUCUCCCUUCCAGCUUGGCUAUCUGAUGUCAGUUCCCUGGCACUUCUCCAUCCUCGAUACCUCAAGUUUCUUGACCUAAAUAACAGCUAAAAAGAAAAUGCAGAAUAUGGAAGAACAAGUUAAAUGACGUCACAGGAAAGCGUUUAUCUUAAUCCAGAAUGCGGAGUAUCUACUGGACAAAUCACUUAGGUUCUCUAACAAAUUACAAGCAUGGAAAAGAAGAGAGAGGGCUACUACAGACAGCAGGAAUGGAGCCGUCUUAAGAGACGUAAUUAAAUGGCCAUGUAGACAUUGACACCUGAUUUGGACAAACUGACUGAUAAAAGAUAAUGAGGUAAAGAUAAUUAAAUUAGUUUGUGCCAGGUGUGACUAUGGCUUGGUGGUUUUUAUAUAUGUAUGUUCACUAUUAAUUCAAAAUGACUGAAGGUAUUUGUGCAUUUAUAACUGAAAUGUGAGAUAUUUAAAAUUUGCUUUCAGAUGCUCCAGUAAACAAAUGAAUGAGCAACAAAAAUGAGUAGAAUCAAGAAAACAAGAUUGGCUGAAAGUUGAUAAUUGUUGAAGUUGGGUAACAGACAGAUAUAUGAAGUUUCCUUACUGUUCUUUCUCUCUUUUUUGUAUAUGUUUGACAUUUUUUCAUCACAAAUAGAAAAGUGAAAAAAGGCAAUGUGUGUACAGGUGGCAGCUAUCAGUGCCAUGAUUACCAUGACAUCAACAUCAG
ensembl:lncRNA